AAAUAAUAAAGUCCCCAGCAUUAAAGAGAAGCAGCAAAUUAUAGCAGCUAACAAAGAAGUGGCUAACAGCAACAAAGAUGCCAGCACUUAUCUGGCAUUGUGAGGGUAUGGGAAUUCUUGGCUCCAGGGUGGAUCAGCACCCCUUGCCUCAUCCACUGCACCUCUCCCGAAUCCAGACUCACCUCCACCUCUAGAGUUGCCUCACUGUACUCUUCAGCUACAACUGGUGUCAUCUUCUUGACCGUGAUGUUACGAAGCUCCGCUAUGAACUCAACAACACGGGGAGCUGAAGGCAAAGCACUUUUGGCCAUCUUUGUACCAGCUGACGACACCAUUUGGACGAGACAAUUCGCAGCUCAGAAUAAUUUCCUCUGGGACAUGACGGUCAAGGUGGACAUCCUCCUUGGGGUAGAUUAUCACCACCGGGGGUUCUUAGAAAGAAGAAUACAUGAAAUUGAAACAUUGUCCACUUCCAUCUUUGUACCACUGGACAACACCAUCAGCCCUCGAUACUUCACAUGACAGGACAAACUCUUCUUUUUCCACGACACUCUUGAAAAGGUCCUCCUCUGGGAUAUCAACAAAUGUUACCGGUGGCGCUGCAGAAAACGGUACACAAAAGAAGAGUUUCAACCCAUCCUUAUACCAGUCGACAUGGGCAGAAGGAUCAUGAGAAAGAUCACAGCUGAGGACAAUGGGAGAACCUUCUUGGACGGACUUGGUCCUGUCAGUCUCUUGAAGCUCUGAGAACUUCACAGCAAACUGGAUGUCAUCAUCCUUUGACUCACAACGGUAAACGCCAGUGUGAGACCGCUCGGCUGAUGGGACAACUAGACUCCUCAAAUUUCCCUCUGACUGGAUGUCUACACCAUUUUGAGCAGUAUAACCCAGCGUGGAAAAAUUCUGCUGAAUGGACAAUCAAUUUUCUCGCCAAGCCA